rnacentral:lncRNA from 1 species
AUUUAGGUAAUAUAUAAUUCAAGCAUGACAAUCUAGGGGAAAAGUACAAUUCACACUCUCACCAUGCACUCCAUAGUUAUAAAAAAUGAUUAAAGAAACUACUUAGGUAAAUAUUCCACAGAAGCAAUGUAAAUGUGAGAUGGUAAAUGGUGAGAUGGUAAAUGUGAUUGUACUUGGCUAGUCUGUCAAAAUAUAUCGGCAAUCUCAAUGACGUAUCUUCAUGUCUCUGGUCACGUGUUAGACCAACCUCCCCAUCCUCUUGAAGUGUGAUUGUUCUCACUUUUAUGUACAACAAGAAUAUGGACAUCUACGAGUGUCCAAUAUAACCUAACAAAAGCAAUCAAUUAACAAACAACAUAAAGAGCUUCCAUUAAAUAAAGUCUAAAGUCACAAAUAUAGUUGACUAAUAUUUUAUCAUGUGCUAAAUACCCUAACGAGCCUAGAUGAAUAUUCUAAUAGUUUUCAUCAAGCAACAUAGACAAACUUCGUCAAGUCUCAUUUUGCAUGUUUGUCAUGCAAAAAUUAAUUUGUUAAAAGAGAAAGACAAUAACCAAUUUGGUUGUAUGGAAUAAGGUCAUUCAGACCAUAGUGUCAUAAUCUUGUUACAUGGACUAUGGAACAAUAGUAUCUUCGGGUAAAAAACUUGCAUGCAUAGUUGUGAAAUUUGAGAAUUGUUUAAUCAAAUUUUAUUGUGAAAUUUCAUAAUGCAGCAACGUUCUUCUUAGUUUUAACAGAGUGACUGAAUAGUCGACACCAAAAAAAACAAAAUAGUGUGACUACGAGAACAAUGCACCACAAGAAGUAAAGAGUGAUUGCCUCUACUUUGAAACUAGUUUUCAAUAAUUCUAAGUCACUCCUUCAAUUCUUUUUUAAGGGUAAUUGUCCUUUUAUAUUCUCUAACUAUAAUUAAUUAGAAAAGGCAAAAGGAUAAUAUCGCUGAAUUGCAGACUCGUGUAAUUCAUAUUGGUGACAAAAUUAGUGGAAUCACACUAAUUCAUGUGAUGAUUUUACAAUUCAAAGCCAUCUGCAAUUCAGCAUAUGAUAUGAAUCGUUGGCUUGCCAGAUUAUAUUAGAUCUUAUUAUUCAAAUUUCAAAUCAUGUCUAACAACUAUGCCUUUAUGUAUUAUAUUAAAAAAAUAGGGCACAAAAAGACUUAAGGUUAGAUCUAGCAAGAGUUGAACCCAAGGCCUAGUUCACACCAUUUUCAACUACUACAUUACUCCAAAAUCCGAAUACAUGCCAUUUUUUUCCUCAUGUGGUAGUUCUGUAUCAAAUUCUCUAACAUGAGGGAUCAAUAAUCUAGGAGUGGCAAAUCCACAUAACAUAGCUAGAAAACAAUAAGAAAAUAUUCAAUAGGAUGUGUAUACUGCAGAUGUUAAAAGUCGACACUUUUUACAUUGUUUUUCAAUCGGUGUUAAAAGUUUUCCCACAUUGUUUGUUUAAAGAACGGAUGUGGAAUGCAUACUUUUAACAUUGAUUGUUCUUAAGAACCGAUGUUAAAUAGUUCUUUUAAAAUCAGUUAUAAAUACAAAAGUGGAAAAGUAGUAUUAUAGAAUAUUGAAUACAAAUCAAUUCAACCUGUGCAUUCUUCUUGUAUAUAUACAACCACUCUCUUCUGAUCUAAAAAUUCAAACCAAAAUCAAAUGAAAUAUAUAAACACAAUACCCAAGAAAUUAAAGAAGGCAAAGUGAAAUAACCCACAUACACACAAACUCAACCAAACAAAGAGAUACAUCAAGUUAAAAUUUAGAUCUAGCGCAACUACGAUGGAUUCUCAAUUAACAUUCCUGAAUUUGAAACUGUAAAAAACUUCCAUAUUGGACAGCUUCCUCAAGCAUAAUAGUGAUACCACCUACAAUUCACAAAGGAAGCAACAAACUUAAGAUUUGAGAUUUUCAGCAUGUUAAAAAUAAUAGUGUGAUUGAAUUGGCACAAUUUUAUCUCUCUAUUUACGUGUCCAUUAAUUAUAGAUUAGACAACUCUUAUACAAUGAACAUAAGGAGCAAAGUAGGGAAACAUGUGCAAGAUAGUUGAAACUUACCAAGAUUGUAAAAAUAGAAAACCAAGAUAAAGAACUUUAUUCAGAAUAACAUUUACACAUACACAAUUCUUGCUUUAUCAGGUUAUCAUUAUUUUUCUUCAAUACCUUCAAGAAUAAGAAAACCACCAGGUUUCGUGUGAAGAUUAGUGAUGGAUAUGUGCAUUUGAAAGAAAAAGAAUGGAACAUUAGUGGUGAAGAUGUUAGGAUUUUACAACAAGAGAUGGUGAUGUCGAUUAUUUCAACGAAAAGAGAUUAGAGGUUUACGGCAAGAGGUGGUGGUCGUCGAAGGAUAAUAAAGUUGUUGGUGGUUCUGCAGCUAUGAGCUAAGCGCGAUGGCCGAAGAUGGCAUAGGAGGAUAAGGAUCUUGGCUGUGGUUAUGCAUUGUCCUGUUUAAAAACAAAA